rnacentral:lncRNA from 1 species
GAGUUUACAAAAAUCACCAAGUUUGGGUAUAUUUAGAAGUGGACUGGAUAAGUUUUAUAGGACUGAUGAUAUAUUUAAACCUUUCAACUAUGGGAUAAGGAAAACUAAAAUAUAAGUCCAUUGUCAACUCAGAAAUAAUGCUAGCAACCUUAAAUCUCAUUUGUUUAAUCAGUUCUUAUCCGAGAACACUUUUUGCACAAACUGUAACCAUCCUGUUGAGGAUAACCAACAUUUUUUUUUUUAUUUGCCCUAAGUAUAAUGAUGUAAGACAGAUCCUUCUUGAUUCCAUUUACUCCAUUGUUGAUAAUGUUGACAUAAA